rfam:Beta vulgaris subsp. vulgaris contig114394.1, whole genome shotgun sequence.
GGGGAUGUAGCUCAGCUGGGAGAGCGGCGCCUUUGCAAGGCGUAGGUCAAGGGUUCGAGUCCCUUCAUCUCCA